rnacentral:lncRNA from 1 species
GGAGGGACCUGUAAGAUCAUGUAAAAGGCAGAAGGUUACCUGUUACAAGGUUUAAGGAAACUAGACUUACUUCUUGGACGAGGUGCCAGGCUUCUAACAGAAUGCAAAGGAGAAAUGGAAGAAAGGGUGUUUAAUGAAUUGCAAGACCAUGACUUAGAAAUGUGAUUAAGUCUGUGCUGACGAACAAAAGCACAGGAAGACUCUACAUCAAUGGCAUGUGAUUAUGACAGGCAUAAACACUAACCAUUAUCAAUUGCCCACAUGUUUCCAAGGAUUGGUCCUGUUUGUCUCCAGCGAAUCCUGGUGUUCCGGAACAGUUCAUGAACUGCAUCUGCCCUUCAGAGAUAACUGAAACACACGUGAGAGCCACACCCAGCCCAGAAUGGCAGAAGAAAAAAGUCCUAAAGGAGCCAAGACUUUAAAAUGAUGACAGAUUUUAUCUGAAAGAUUCUUCCGGGAGCAAUUUAUAGUUCUGUGAAGUGUCAAUGACAGCAGCUUCUACAGGGAGAUAUGGAUUCUUCUUCAGCUUCAUAGCCUUUGGCACCUUGUGGAAAGGUGUGACUCAGAGGCAUCUUGUACAGAAAUUAAGGUGCAGGAAGAUUUCAAUAAAAACAAACGGGGCAGUCAGUUUUAAAAUAUUUUAAAUAUUGUUUUAAGUCAUUUUUAAAGAAUAAUAAUAGGCAGUAAACUGUGUUGUGCUGCCCUAAUUGCAGUAAAAAUUCAGAGAAAAGGGUACAAUGUGAGCUAAAAGAGCUGGGCAUAUAGCAGAUGCCUAGUAAAUAUUUGUUGGAG